rnacentral:rRNA from 1 species
GAAUAGCCCGGGGAAACCCGGAUUAAUACCCCAUAGUCCCGCAAGGGUAAAGGUGGCCGUAAGGCUGUCGCUGAAGGAUUGGUUCGCGCCCUAUCAGCUUGUUGGUGAGGUAACGGCUCGCCAAGGCUACGACGGGUACCUGGUCUGAGAGGACGAUCAGGCACACUGGAACUGAGACACGGUCCAGACACCUACGGGUGGCAGCAGUCGAGAAUAAUUCACAAUGGGGGCAACCCUGAUGGUGCAACGCCGCGUGGAGGAUGACGGUCUUAGGAUUGUAAACUCCUGUCAUCUGGGAGAAAGACCUGGUCGUGAAUAGCGAACAGGGUUGAUAGUACCAGAAGAGGAAGGGACGGCUAACUUCGUGCCAGCAGCCGCGGUAAUAUGAAGGUCCCGAGCGUUGUUCGGAAUCACUGGGCGUAAAGGGAGCGUAGGCGGCGCGGUAAGUCGGAUGUGAAAUCCCGGGGCUCAACCCCGGAACUGCAUCUGAUACUGCCGUGCUAGAGUAAUGGAGGGGUAGCUGGAAUUCUCGGUGUAGCAGUGAAAUGCGUAGAUAUCGAGAGGAACACUCGUGGCGAAAGCGAGCUACUGGACAUUUACUGACGCUGAGGCUCGAAGGCUAGGGGAGCGAAAGGGAUUAGAUACCCCUGUAGUCCUAGCAGUAAACGGUGCACGCUUGGUGUGAGGGGAUUCGACCCCCCUUGUGCCGGAGCUAACGCGUUAAGCGUGCCGCCUGGGAAGUACGGUCGCAAGACUAAAACUCAAAGAAAUUGACGGGGACCCGCACAAGCGGUGGAGUAUGUGGCUUAAUUCGAUGCAACGCGAAGAACCUUACCUAGGCUUGACAUGGAUUUCUAAGCACGUGAAAGCGUGUGACCCUUCGGGGAACUUCCACAGGUGCUGCAUGGCCGUCGUCAGCUCGUGUCGUGAGAUGUU